GGGCUGGUAGAUCAACGGUAGAUCGCUUGCUUUGCAAGCAAGAGGCUAGGGGUUCAAAUCCCCUCCAGUCCA
rnacentral:tRNA from 1 species